CAAGUCGAGCGGCAGCGCGGGGCAACCUGGCGGCGAGCGGCGAACGGGUGAGUAAUGCAUCGGAACAUGUCCAUGUCGUGGGGGAUAGCCCGGCGAAAGCCGGAUUAAUACCGCAUAAGCCCGAGAGGGGAAAGCCGGGGACCGCAAGGCCUGGCGCGAUUGGGUUGGCCGAUGUCCGAUUAGCUAGUUGGCGGGGUAAGAGCCCACCAAGGCGAUGAUCGGUAGCUGGUCUGAGAGGAUGAUCAGCCACACUGGGACUGAGACACGGCCCAGACUCCUACGGGAGGCAGCAGUGGGGAAUUUUGGACAAUGGGGGAAACCCUGAUCCAGCCAUUCCGCGUGAGUGAAGAAGGCCUUCGGGUUGUAAAGCUCUUUUGUCCGGAACGAAACGGUUACGGCUAAUACCUGUGACUACUGACGGUACCGGAAGAAUAAGCACCGGCUAACUACGUGCCAGCAGCCGCGGUAAUACGUAGGGUGCGAGCGUUAAUCGGAAUUACUGGGCGUAAAGCGUGCGCAGGCGGUUUUGUAAGCCAGAUGUGAAAUCCCCGGGCUUAACCUGGGAAUGGCAUUUGGGACUGCAAGGCUUGAGUGCGGCAGAGGAGACUGGAAUUCCUGGUGUAGCAGUGAAAUGCGUAGAUAUCAGGAGGAACACCGAUGGCGAAGGCAGGUCUCUGGGCUGACACUGACGCUCAUGCACGAAAGCGUGGGGAGCAAACAGGAUUAGAUACCCUGGUAGUCCACGCCCUAAACGAUGUCGACUGGUUGUUGGGGGGUUUGACACUCUCAGUAACGAAGCUAACGCGUGAAGUCGACCGCCUGGGGAGUACGGCCGCAAGGUU
rnacentral:rRNA from 1 species